rnacentral:rRNA from 1 species
GACGAACCGUGCGAACGUUGUUCGGAUUCACUGGGCUUAAAGGGCGCGUAGGCGGGGCGGCGAGUCGGGGGUGAAAUUUUGCGGCUUAACCGUAACAGUGCCUUUGAUACUGGUAGGCUCGAGGGAGACAGGGGUCCGCGGAACUUCUGGUGGAGCGGUGAAAUGCGUUGAUAUCAGAAGGAACGCCGGUGGCGAAAGCGGCGGACUGGAUCUUUUCUGACGCUGAGGCGCGAAAGCCAGGGGAGCAAACGGG